UCACAUGAAGACAGGUGUCCCAAGGUGGGACGGUCAUCAAUGCAGGAGAGAAAUAUAAACGGAAAGCUCAGCUUGGGAAGUGGAAAAAGAAAUUUCAAUGAUGGUUAUUAAAAGCGCGUCUUUGGAAAAGCUGAAAUGGUGAAAACGCAAACGAAAAAAAAAACAUCCUUCCCAAAACUCUCUCCCCAUCUGCCUUACCGUUCAAUCUCUCAAUCUCACUCGUCAUCUCUCAAACGCUCACACUCUCUACUCUCACUAAACGCGGAAAAAGCCAUGGUUUCAAAAGAAAAUCAAGUAAGAAGGCUCACCUUCGGCGGUGAUUCGGCAGCGACGGUGAGGCUUGGAUCUUCCUUCUUCGCCUCAAAGUCUUCUUUUUUAAGCGAUUUCCCUUGAAGCUGGAGUUAUACUCAUCCUUUGUGACGAUUCAAACUUUGUUCCGCUUGUGUAUGCAUUUCUAGUAGCAGUGCCUGAUCUUUUGUGUAUGCUCGAAAAGUUACAACAGUGGGCUUGCAAUUUGAUGCAGUGAGCCUUGGAGGAAAUCGAUCUGCUUGGUCACUUAGAAAAUGGGAAAGUGGAUUUUAUGAGAAUACAUGUCCUGAAGUUGCUGCAAGGGUGUACAUAAAGGAUCAUUUUGUGCAGGUUUUGUUGGAGAUUAGGAAAAGGUUCAUUCUGUUCGCUGGUGGUUAUAGCAGAUGAAAUGAAGAGAAUGAUUGAGUGGUUAUAGUAGUUGGAGUGAAGGACGAUCCAGGGUGAGAGAAAAUGAUUGGUGAGAGGAUUAUGAACAAGAAUGAAAAAGAAACUGAGUUUUGCAGAAUCAAUGGAUGCUGAAGGUUGCAGGUAGCGUAUGGUUGUUACGGUUGCAGAGUGAAGGGUGCAGAACAGAAUGAAGAGAUAAGAGAAAGAGUGAAGAGAAAGAUUGAAAAAGUGAAGAAAACUCGUGGCUCGAGCCAAUGGUGAGAACUGCCAAUUUAUAGAGUUUCUAUGAAGUGAUUUCGUUAACUCUGUUAAUCUCUUCUCCCAUCAAAUUUGUUAAUCGUUGAAACUCGGUUAGUUAGUUUGUUUGUUAAAUUCAUUAUUCUGUUAAAAUUCUGUUGACAAUCUCAAAUGGAUUUUGAUUCUCUAUGAUGAAUGCAACUUCUGUUAUCAUGGAUGGUUCGAAAAAAUGCAGGUAUUUUUGAAUUUGGAUGCGCAGGCCUCGUCGUUUACUGCGUUUUGCAUUUGCUUCAAGCUUGC